rnacentral:sRNA from 1 species
CACAAAGAUGAAAUUAUCAAAUUGUUUGCCCCGAUGGAAACAAUCGAAAAUGAUUUAAAAAACCGCUAUACAGAUG